rnacentral:rRNA from 1 species
UCUGGUGAUGAUUGCGAGAGGGACACACCUGUUACCAUAUCGAACACAGAAGUUAAGCCUCUCAGCGCCGAUGGUACUUGGGUGGAGAUGCCCUGGGAGAGUAGGACGUUGCCAGAU